UACAGAGGGUGCGAGCGUUGUCCGGAAUCACUGGGCGUAAAGGGCGCGUAGGUGGCGCGACAAGUCCGUGGUGAAAGCUCGAUGCUCAACAUCGAGUCGGCCACGGAUACUGUUGGGCUGGAGCACUGUAGAGGCAGAUGGAAUUCCGGGUGUAGCGGUGGAAUGCGUAGAGAUCCGGAAAGAACACCGGUGGCGAAGGCGGGGAUCCUGG
rnacentral:rRNA from 1 species